GAUGAAGAACGUAGCGAAAUGCGAUAAGUAAUGUGAAUUGCAGAAUUCAGUGAAUCAUCGAAUCUUUGAACGCACAUUGCGCCCCCUGGUAUUCCGGGGGGCAUGCCUGUCCGAGCGUCAUUACAACCCUCAAGCUCAGCUUGGUAUUGGGCCCCGCCGACCCGGCGGGCCCUAAAGUCAGUGGCGGUGCCGUCCGGCUCCGAGCGUAGUAAUUCUUCUUGCUCUGGAGGUCCGGUCGUGUGCUCGCCAGCAACCCCCAAUUUUUUUCAGGUUGACCUCGGAUCAGGUAGGGAUACCCGCUGAACUUAAGCAUAUCAAUAAGCGGAGGA
rnacentral:misc_RNA from 1 species